UACGGAGGGGGCUAGCGUUGUUCGGAAUUACUGGGCGUAAAGGGCGCGUAGGCGGCCAGCACAAGUCAGUUGUGAAAUCUCCGAGCUUAACUCGGAAAGGUCAACUGAUACUGUGCGGCUAGAGUGCGGAAGGGGCAACUGGAAUUCUUGGUGUAGCGGUGAAAUGCGUAGAUAUCAAGAGGAACACCUGCGGCGAAGGCGGGUUGCUGGGCCGACACUGACGCUGAGGCGCGAAAGCCAGGGGAGCGAACGGG
rnacentral:rRNA from 1 species